rnacentral:ribozyme from 16 species
UGCAUUCUGCACUGCCAAGAAAAAAUUAACAAAAUGAAAGAAAAAAGAUGGGAAAAAAAGAGAAAAAAUGAAAGGGAAAAAAGAUU